rnacentral:rRNA from 1 species
GACGAACGCUGGCGGCGUGCUUAACACAUGCAAGUCGAACGGUGAAGCGCCUUCCUUUUUGGUGGGUGUGGAUGAGUGGCGAACGGGUGAGUAACACGUGAGUAACCUGCCCCCUUUUUCGGGAUAACCGCAUGAAAGUGUGGCUAUUACGGGAUAUCCUGGUUCUGUCGCAUGAUGGGUCUGGGAAAGAUAUUGUUUCGGUGGGGGUGGGGUUCGCGGCCUAUCAGCUUGUUGGUGGGGUGAUGGCCUACCAAGGCGGUGACGGGUAGCCGGCCUGAGAGGGUGGACGGUCACACUGGGACUGAGACACGGCCCAGACUCCUACGGGAGGCAGCAGUGGGGAAUAUUGCACAAUGGGCGCAAGCCUGAUGCAGCGACGCCGCGUGAGGGAUGGAGGCCUUCGGGUUGUGAACCUCUUUCGCCAGUGAAGCAGGCCUGCCUCGUUUGUGGGUGGGUUGACGGUAGCUGGAUAAGAAGCGCCGGCUAACUACGUG